rnacentral:misc_RNA from 1 species
GGAAGCAAAAGUCGUAACAAGGUUUCCGUAGGUGAACCUGCGGAAGGAUCAUUAAUGAGUUGUCAUGGGGUUCGAUGCUGGCAGCCAAUUUUUGGAUGCAUGUGCUUGCCCUAACAAUCAUCUUCCAAACACCUGUGCACAUUUUUGAGGGAGUCUUGAGUUGGUUGCCGCUCUUGGGUGAUUUUCUCACAUUCCCUUAAAUCAUUAUACGCUAUUAACAAUGUUGAACGUGCUCUGUGCCGCAAGGCUAUUAAUAUAAUACAACUUUUAACAACGGAUCUCUUGGCUCUC